CUCUCUCUCUCUCUCUCUCUCUCUCUCUCUCUCUCUCUCUCCUGCUUCCAGAAACAAACUGGGAAUUUUUCCAACAUUCCCAGUUUUUAUUUCCGUCCAGUGAAACCAGGACGGUCCCGCGCACCGCGGGGACGCGCACAGGUUUUAUUUAUUCGUUUUGAUUUUAUUUUCGUUCACGCCUCCCAUCGAGCACUCAUUCACACACACACACACACACACACACACACAAACACACACACACACACACACCUCGUGAAGCAGCAUGUUACACCGCGGACACACCCACCAUUAAUGCACAGCCAUAUUUUUCCUGCAUGAUAAACAUCCAGAUAUUUGUUUUAUUUUGACAAUAAUUUUGCUUAAAUUAAAUUUUAUUUUCUAUUUGGAUUUUUUCUUUUUAUCUUUAAACUUAUUAAAUCUUUAAAUCAUCAUAAAGUUUCAGGUUUUUAACAGGUUUUCGAUCUAAAACUGGAUUUUCAUCCGUUUUCAUGUAUUUUUAAAGGUUCGUGCUGCAGCCGAAUCGGAACCGAACCACGCUGCGGGGAUCCGGACUCAGAGAACCGGAUCAGUCCCGAUCAAAGCUGAUUCUAACGGGCUUGUUAAAUCCAGGCCAGUCGGUCGAUUUUAUUCGAUCCCUUUGCACAGAUUCCGCAAAUCCUCCCGCAAAUCCUCCCGCAAAUCCUCCCGCAGCUUCACCGCCAUCAACCCAUCAAACGGUCCGGACGGGUUCAACUGAGUCCUGAUUCUUUUCCUCCUGAAUCUGAACAAAAGGACACGGAUUCGUUCGGACUGAAUAAUUCAGUUUUUCUCUUCCACAGUCACGCACGGGCUCACGGGCGCGCGCACAGCCUCCUCCACGGCGCCGUUACGCAACAGAAACAGAACCAGGUUCGGUUCGGAGGUCUGAGGCGGUCAGCCGCAGCCUGCGGGGACCCGGUUCGGUUCUGCAGCCGAACCGAGCCGGCAGGCCCGGCACGGCCCGCUCAGCACAGAGCAGCUAGAUGAUGAUUUAAAUUUAGAUUCAAAAUCAUCUUUUUAUCCGGACAGUCGCACUGCGGCGGGACACCGACUAAACCCUGGAAUCCACCGUCUAAUAUCUGGAUUCUACCUGUUAUUUACCACCGCGUCAUCGAACGAACUGAAAUGCAUCUUCGAUCAGUUUUAAAAAAUAAAAUAAUAAUUCAAUCAAGAUCGAAGCAGAUUUUAAUUUUCACAUUUUUAAGGUUUUUAUGAGAAAUUCCGCAGCAAAACAGCCUGGGACAAACCGAGGAGGAGGAGGAGGAGGAGGAAGGACGGAGUAAAGAGGAGGAGGGAUGGAGGGGGGCAUCCCCCUUGUUAACACACACACACACACACACACACACACACACACACACACAGUCUAAAUGUGAAGUGAAUCCCGGCUGGAGCCAAACUGCAGGAAACUAAACGCCAAUAUUUCAUUUUAAAAUAAAAACUGGAAUCAGGUCUGGAGCGAAACCAAACCAGAUGGAAGAGUUUCCUGAGCGCGCGGGAGAAACGAGCAAAAAUGGGACCGGAACCGAUUUUAAACAGAAAAGAUUCAACAGAGAAGAAACGGAAAGUUUCCGCUCACCGACGUGAAGAGCCAGCAGGACUGUGAGGAACCUGGAGCUCCAGCUUUCUCCCAUCCUCCGCGCCGCGUCUCCGCAUCAGAGCUCAGAGUCACAAAGUUGGAGAGCCGCAGAGGAGGAGCCGCACAUUCCCCGCAAAAAACACAAACAGGCGCAAACAGAAAAUCCACCGCGGCGGAGCCCCGCUGCUGGCCGGCCGCUCCUCUUCCUCCUCUGCCUCCUCUUCCUCCCGCUGGAUCGUCCCUCCUCUGCAGAACUCUGCGGGUUGGUGCCGAUCCGCUCCGCUCCGCUCCAGCUCGCACUCCGCUUUACGCGUCCCGAGUGAGAAAAGAAAAGACAGAGAGAAAGCUCCUCCCUCCAUCCAUCCUCCCUCUUUCCCUCCAUCCAUCCCUCCAUCCAUCCAUCCCUCCAUCCAUCCUCCCUCUUUCCCUCCAUCCCUCCAUCCAUCCAUCCAUCAUCAUCAUCCUCAUAUUUUAGGAUCGUUUCCUUCCUUUGGUUUAUUUUCAGGACUUGAUGACUAAAAUGUUCUGACUGAAAUAAACAGAUGAAUCACAAACUAAAAUAACAAAAUGUGUUAAUUUAUGACAAACAUUAUAAAAAACUUAAACGUUCAUUUAAAUAAUAAAUUAGAUUGGAAAUAAAUCAGAUUUUUGCUUUUAGAAUUAAAAUGAUUCAAAUAUUUUAAUUUUCA